ensembl:miRNA aca-mir-26-1 aca-mir-26-1
GUAACAGGACUGUGGCCAGUUUCAAGUAAUCCAGGAUAGGCUGUGGGUACUGAUGUCAGCCUGUUCUUGAUUACUUGGCCUUGGAGGCAGCCGGUG